UGUAAGCGUAUACCAAAGUUGUUGCAGUUAAAACGCUCGUAGUCGGACUUUGGCAGUUCCGGAUGUGUGCACGUCGUGUGCGCACUUCGCGGGGAUUGCUUUUGUGGUCUUGCGUAGGAUGAGGCACUUUUAUUAGUGAACGUCCUCACGCAACCACUUUUUACUGUGAGAAAAUCAGAGUGCUCAAAGCAGGCACUUGCCGUGAAUGUAUUAGCAUGGAAUAAUAGAAUAGGACUUGGUUCUAUUUUGUUGGUUUGUUGGGACUGAGUAAUGAUUAAGAGGGACAGUUGGGGGCAUUUGUAUUUCGGUGCUAGAGGUGAAAUUCUUAGAUUACCGAAAGACAAACUGCUGCGAAAGCGUCUGCCAAGGAUGUUUUCAUUGA
rnacentral:rRNA from 1 species